UACGUAGGUGGCGAGCGUUGUCCGGAUUUACUGGGCGUAAAGGGCGCGUAGGCGGCCACCGCAAGUCGACUGUGAAAUCUCCGGGCUUAACCCGGAAAGGUCAACUGAUACUGCGGGGCUAGAGUGCAGAAGGGGCAACUGGAAUUCUCGGUGUAGCGGUGAAAUGCGUAGAUAUCGAGAGGAACACCUGCGGCGAAGGCGGGUUGCUGGGCUGACACUGACGCUGAUGCGCGAAAGCUAGGGGAGCGAACGGG
rnacentral:rRNA from 1 species